GAUGAACGCUGGCGGCGUGCCUAAUACAUGCAAGUCGAGCGAACGGACGAGAAGCUUGCUUCUCUGAUGUUAGCGGCGGACGGGUGAGUAACACGUGGAUAACCUACCUAUAAGACUGGGAUAACUUCGGGAAACCGGAGCUAAUACCGGAUAAUAUUUUGAACCGCAUGGUUCAAAAGUGAAAGACGGUUUUGCUGUCACUUAUAGAUGGAUCCGCGCUGCAUUAGCUAGUUGGUAAGGUAACGGCUUACCAAGGCAACGAUGCAUAGCCGACCUGAGAGGGUGAUCGGCCACACUGGAACUGAGGCACGGUCCAGACUCCUACGGGAAGCAGCAGUAGGGAAUCUUCCGCAAUGGGCGAAAGCCUGACGGAGCAACGCCGCGUGAGUGAUGAAGGUCUUCGGAUCGUAAAACUCUGUUAUUAGGGAAGAACAUAUGUGUAAGUAACUGUGCACAUCUUGACGGUACCUAAUCAGAAAGCCACGGCUAACUACGUG
rnacentral:rRNA from 1 species